UUUUUUUUUGUAACACAAAAAAAACUGAGAUCUAAUGUUCAAUCAGUAUCUAUCUUUCUUUCUUUCUUUCUUUCUUGACAACUUCUAGCAUUAUCUAGCCAAACUAAAGAAAACUGGCUAACACAUUAUUUGUUAUUUUACACUUAUAAAUUGAUUAGUAUUGAUUUUUUUUUGGUUUCACAGCUAGGGAAUCACGUUGGCUUGGAGGCAUUACAUACAGCUGCAGUUAUUGUUCUUGACUGGAAUAUUGGGGCUUGCUUGUAUGGGUUUAAGCUUCUUCAAAACCGUGUUCUGGCACUUUUUGUGGCUGGCACUUCUCGACUUUUCCUAACAUGCUUUGGCAUACACUACUGGUACCUAGGGCAUUGCAUUAGUUACAUUUGCAUCGGUUCUAACUUCUAUCAGGUGCUGUUGUUUCCCGUCAUCUAUUGAUAACAGACCCAUCAGCUUCAAGAAGAGAUGCCUUGCAGAGCACAGUGAUCCGCGUGAGAGAAGGUUUUCGGAGAAAAGAGCAGAAUAGUUCAUCAGAUGGUUGUGGCUCAAGUAUUAAAAGAAGUAGUAGUAUCGAUGCAGGCCAUGCUGCUUAUACUAACGAAGCUAACCGUAGCACAGAGUGCACGGCUGACGAUCUAACUCGAAUAGGGCGCAGCAGCUCUCAGGAGGGUAUUAAUAGUGACAAAAGUGUAGAAAGUGGAAGACGACCUAGCUUAGGUUUACGUAGUAGCUCAUGUCGUUCUGUGAUCCAAGAGGCUGAAGCAGGAACGUCUUAUGAUGAGAAUAACAAUAUGGUUGUUUGUUCAAGCAGUGGGUGGUCUUGAGAGCCAAGGUUAUGAGUCUAGCACAUCGGUCGAACUCUGCAAACCAGCAGAUCUUGGAUUUGAAUUUGGCUCUAGCUUUUCAGGAACAGUUAAAAGAUCCUAGGAUAGCCUCGAUGCUUAAGGAGAAAGCAAAAGAAUGUGAUGUUGAAGGAGAAAAAUUUGGAUCCAAGAAUAUUGGCGUUACUUGAAAGGAGUAGUUUAGAUGCAGAUAGAGAUCACAGAGACAACACUGAUGUUACAAUCAUUGACUCAAACAGUGUUGACAAUACUCUUCCAAAUCAGAUUUCUCUAUCUGAAGAAUUGAGGCUCCGGGGGCUCGAAGAGUGGCUUAAGCUGUCUAGAGUUGUUCAGUCUUGUCUUUAUUCUUGAAACAAUCAUUGUGGCCAUUUUUCGUCCGAAGACCAUAACGAUUAUACAUUCCAUUC